CUAUUCUUAAGAAAGUCACACCAACCUGUGUAUGUCCACAAAAUAAAUUACACGUAUUGCAGAUAACAUUUGCAAAAUUCUGAGAAAAAUUCCCUGUGUUCAGAAAGUGCCCUUGUUUGCUAUUUCAUAAACAGAGAAAGAACUCCUGGUUAAAGCUCACUUAGAUUCUGGUAGGAAAAUGUGAUGAGUUACCAUUGUGGUCUAUUCCUUAUGUCCCAGAAGAGAGAAAAUCAGAACCUCUUCGUGCCUUUCCAGAAGUCAUCCAGUCAUGUAACAAUGAAAAAUGCCCAAAUCCAUUUCCAAAUACCCCGUGGAGAAGCUAUAAGCAGACGAGGUUGAGAACCGCUUGACUAGGUGGUUUCUGAUGGUUUCUUCCAAUCUUAUGAUUCUUUGAUCUCCCACAUACCAAGAAACCUUUCCUGAUUCUUUCAUUUCAGUAAGACAUGCUCCUCAAAUAGAGACAUCAGGGUUCCCAGACUUCUCAUGUUGAAGAAAUGUCAUUUUAUAGACAUAUUUGGGUUUUGAUAAAUUAAACCAAAGUAAAUUCAAGAGACAAAACAACAGAUGAUAACAUAAAGUUCUAAGUGCAGCCAGUGGAACUGAACGUUUAUUAAUAAAUGUUGACUUAAUGUGAUUGGUAAGAGCAUUUUCAUAAGUUUGACAUUUCUGUCUACUGCUACUAUCUUGAAUCUCUGCUUGACUACUUCUAAUUUCCAAGUUCUAAAGUAAUUUCUAUAAAUAGGCAAAAUUUCAUAAUCUCCAUGACAUAUUUUUAUACAUUUGGUCAGGUGCAUUAUUGUCCAAAGAGUUACUUUUGACGAUACUGCUAUAGGAUAGCCAAACUAAAUUUGUGCACUACUCUGAGUAGAAUACUACAUCCAAAACAAAUUCUGUUUCAAAAAUUCUACAAAAUAUUACAAAAAAUGUUUAUUCCAUGAAGAAGAUAUAUUUUUCUUAGACAAAUUGUAAUCACAUAGAUAUUUAGUGACCUUGAAUUUAUUUUAUUGUAAUCACAUAGAUAUUUAGUGAC
rnacentral:lncRNA from 1 species